rnacentral:lncRNA from 1 species
CAGAAAAGUUACUGUUCCUACAAUGGGCACUUGUUCGCAAUGUGCUAUGCUCCCCAGAUUCUCCUCCUGAGAAUAAGCCAUGGAUUUCACAGCCAGGAGACGUGGGGCUCAGACGGGAUGAGUAUGUUCCGCUACGGCCUGGUUGCUGGAGUGCACCUUAGAACCCAUUGCAACCUUCCAUGA